rnacentral:rRNA from 1 species
GACAGAGGUGCCAAGCGUUAGGCGGAAUCACUGGGCUUAAAGCGUGUGUAGGCGGACUUGUAAGUACCUUGUGAAAUCCCACGGCUCAACCGUGGAACUGCUUGGUAUACUGCUUGUCUUGAGCCACUUAGGGGUUACCGGAACAAACGGUGGAGCGGUGAAAUGCGUAGAUAUCGUUUGGAACGCCAAUGGUGAAAACAGGUAACUGGGAGUGUGCCGACGCUGAGACACGAAAGCCAGGGGAGCGAACGGG